UACGAGGGGGCAAAUGUUGUUCGGAAUCACUGGGCGUAAAGGGAGCGUAGGCGGGUUCUUAAGUAAGGUGUUUAAUCCCGGGGCCCAACCCCGGACCGGCACUUUAAACUGGGAAUCUUGAAUAGUGGAGAGGUCGGUGGAAUUGGAGGUGUAGCGGUGGAAUGGCGUAGAGAUCUCCAAGAACACCAGUUGCGAAGGCGGCCGACUGGACACAUAUUGACGCUGAGGCUCGAAAGCAUGGGGAGCAAACAGG
rnacentral:rRNA from 1 species